GGCGGCGUGCUUAACACAUGCAAGUCGAGCGGAAAGGCCCUUCGGGGUACUCGAGCGGCGAACGGGUGAGUAACACGUGAGCAACCUGCCCCAGGCUUUGGGAUAACCCCGGGAAACCGGGGCUAAUACCGAAUAUGACCUCCGAUCGCAUGGUUGGUGGUGGAAAGUUUUUCGGCUUGGGAUGGGCUCGCGGCCUAUCAGCUUGUUGGUGGGGUGAUGGCCUACCAAGGCGACGACGGGUAGCCGGCCUGAGAGGGCGACCGGCCACACUGGGACUGAGACACGGCCCAGACUCCUACGGGAGGCAGCAGUGGGGAAUAUUGCACAAUGGGCGGAAGCUUGAUGCAGCGACGCCGCGUGAGGGAUGACGGCCUUCGGGUUGUAAACCUCUUUCAGCAGGGACGAAGCGUAAGUGACGGUACCUGCAGAAGAAGCGCCGGCCAACUACGUGCCAGCAGCCGCGGUAAGACGUAGGGUGCGAGCGUUGUCCGGAUUUAUUGGGCGUAAAGAGCUCGUAGGCGGCUUGUCGCGUCGACUGUGAAAACCCGCAGCUCAACUGCGGGCCUGCAGUCGAUACGGGCAGGCUAGAGUUCGGUAGGGGAGACUGGAAUUCCUGGUGUAGCGGUGAAAUGCGCAGAUAUCAGGAGGAACACCGGUGGCGAAGGCGGGUCUCUGGGCCGAUACUGACGCUGAGGAGCGAAAGCGUGGGGAGCGAACAGGAUUAGAUACCCUGGUAGUCCACGCUGUAAACGUUGGGCGCUAGGUGUGGGGGGCCUCUCCGGUUCCCUGUGCCGCAGCUAACGCAUUAAGCGCCCCGCCUGGGGAGUACGGCCGC
rnacentral:rRNA from 1 species